AUUAAAGUUUUCUAGGGUUCCGCAAUCUAGAUUGGACUGGUCCAAGAGAAAACGCACAUGCAUGAUGUGUACACGGAGGGACAAAAGCCCGGGAGGA
rnacentral:sRNA from 2 species